UACGAAGGGGGCUAGCGUUGUUCGGAUUUACUGGGCGUAAAGAGCUCGUAGGCGGUGUGUCGCGUCGGCCGUGAAAACCUGCAGCUUAACUGUGGGCUUGCGGUCGAUACGGGCAUCACUGGAGUUCGGUAGGGGAGACUGGAAUUCCUGGUGUAGCGGUGAAAUGCGCAGAUAUCAGGAGGAACACCGGUGGCGAAGGCGGGUCUCUGGGCCGAUACUGACGCUGAGGAGCGAAAGCGUGGGGAGCGAACAGG
rnacentral:rRNA from 1 species